AUUCUACUCCCUCCGUUGCACAAUACAUGCCUUCUAUUUGUCAAAAUAUAUAUGUAUCUAAACAUGUUUUAGUAUAUAGGUACAUCCAUUUUUGGGCAAAUGGAAGUCAAGUAAUUUUGGAACGGUGGGAGUACACA
rnacentral:pre_miRNA from 1 species